ACAUGGGAUGACACUGACCAGGUGAAAGAUGACAUGGGAUGACACUGACCAGGUGAAAGAUGACAUGGGAUGACACUGACCAGGUGAAAGAUGACAUGGGAUGACACUGACCAGGUGAAAGAUGACAUGGGAUGACACUGACCAGGUGAAAGAUGACAUGGGAUGACACUGACCAGGUGAAAGAUGACAUGGGAUGACACUGACCAGGUGAAAGAUGACAUGGGAUGACACUGACCAGGUGAAAGAUGACAUGGGAUGACACUGACCAGGUGAAAGAUGACAUGGGAUGACACUGACCAGGUGAAAGAUGACAUGGGAUGACACUGACCAGGUGAAAGAUGACAUGGGAUGACACUGACCAGGUGAAAGAUGACAUGGGAUGACACUGACCAGGUGAAAGAUGACAUGGGAUGACACUGACCAGGUGAAAGAUGACAUGGGAUGACACUGACCAGGUGAAAGAUGACAUGGGAUGACACUGACCAGGUGAAAGAUGACAUGGGAUGACACUGACCAGGUGAAAGAUGACAUGGGAUGACACUGACCAGGUGAAACAUGACAUGGGAUGACACUGACCAGGUGAAAGAUGACAUGGGAUGACACUGACCAGGUGAAACAUGACAUGGGAUGACACUGACCAGGUGAAACAUGACAUGGGAUGACACUGACCAGGUGAAACAUGACAUGGGAUGACACUGACCAGGUGAAACAUGACAUGGGAUGACACUGACCAGGUGAAAGAUGACAUGGGAUGACACUGACCAGGUGAAAGAUGACAUGGGAUGACACUGACCAGGUGAAACAUGAC